rnacentral:sRNA from 1 species
CGCAGCGCAAGAGACCUACUCCUCCUCCCAAGGUCUUUUGCUGAACAGCAACACUCCUCCUCCCGUUGCUGUUCGACCAUUCAAAGAAAGCCUGCCGCACCUCCUCCCGCGGCAGGCUUUUUUG